UCAAACCCUGCACCUCUGCACUGUGAGGCGGACGUGCUAACCAGUUGACCACCGUGUCGCCCACUGUGUGAAACAUGAUGAUCCAUAACCAUUUGUCACGCAGAAACACACACACACCUCCACAGGUGCGGCUCCCCGACUAACACGUCAAAGCCAAAAGGUAAGCAGAGCUGCAUUGAGUUCUGUUGGCUGCACAGAUGAGCAUCAAUGUCUGAUCAUAAACAGAUUUGAUGUCCUGCUUUUAAUGGAGGAUUGAUUAAAAAAAAAAUAAGCAAAUAAAAAUAUGGCCAAAGAAUCUAUGUGAGUAUCAAUUUGAAAUGUUUGGCUGUUUUAUAACUAGAGUCCGUACUUAUGUUCCAGCGGGUGGAGUUUGCAGUGGUUUCAAAUCGCCUGCCUAACUCGACCUCACAGUUCACUGACCAGAAGCACAUUCUUGCGAGGGUUAGCAAAGCUUUAAUGUUGUUUCCUUAAGCUCCGGCAUUACGUUCCGACUUUUUUUUUUUUUUUUUUUUUUUAGACAUGUUCCCGCCGUCCGACCGGUGGAUCACUGCAUGUUUUAUUCACACAUAUGCAAAGGAGAAGAGCUCGUAUUCGUGUGUAUCUUAUUAUAAAUGUAACAAGGAGUCAAGCACAUAGUGUUACUGAUUAGCGGCUGGGCAGUGUUGGAGCACACAGCUGUGGGUACGAAACACAGACACACACACACACACACGCACGCGCACCGCUUGCACUCAUAGCCGGCAGGCUGAUUGUCGAUCGCGAGGAGAAGCUUGAGCGUCACACUGGACACUGCAGCGCUGGGCUCAUGUGAAAAAAAUUGCCGCAGGGGUGGAUGAGAACAAGCUCUGAACACACGAAAUAAGCUCGGAUCGGCUCCAGCCAGCCCUCGACCCUCGUGAGGAUAAGCGUAUCAGAAAAUGGAUGGCUGGAUGAAAAUGAUGUUGCCUACAAUCACUGUACAGGAAGUUAAUAAAAGAGACACACGAUUUUGCUCAUUUUUCUCAAAGUUAUCAAAACAGGUAUUCAUAAAAAUGGCAGUAAAAACUCCUUUUGAAUGAA